rnacentral:rRNA from 1 species
UACGAAGGGGGCUAGCGUUGCUCGGAAUUACUGGGCGUAAAGGGAGCGUAGGCGGACAUUUAAGUCAGAGGUGAAAUCCCGGAGCUUAACUUCGGAACUGCCUUUGAUACUGGGUGUCUUGAGUGUGAGAGAGGUAUGUGGAACUCCGAGUGUAGAGGUGAAAUUCGUAGAUAUUCGCAAGAACACCAGUGGCGAAGGCGGCUCACUGGCCCGAUACUGACGCUGAGGCACGAAAGCGUGGGGAGCAAACAGG